rnacentral:lncRNA from 1 species
GACACAUGGGAGUGUGUGUGUUACUGUUCGGAUGAGGCUUCUUGAUUUGAUGCAUUUUUAGUGGCCUAUCAGCCUCCAAGGAAGUCAGAACUGCUCAUCAAAGCACUUUAACGGGGAGAAAGAGGGAAAGGUGGGGAGUGGAACUUCUGCUGUCAUGAACCUGCUGUGGCAACACACAACUCGUCUGGCUUCGGGAGCAGGACAUGAGGAAGGGAGCCAUUAAAAAUCAAGGAAACCACUACAGUAAAUGAGAGCUGCCCAUGUCUUCAGUGCCUCCACCCACGCAUCUUCACACCCUCGUGCAGUCACAGGCUGUUCAUCUCUCCAGCAAGUUCCCUUUCUCUCCCCACCUCUCAGUCCAGCAGCCUGAUUUCUUUGAAUGAUGCUCAUGGCAUGAAAAUAGCUGUAGCUGCAGAGAGCUGGUAUUUCCACAAGAUUAUGGACACGUUCUUGUCUGGUGAGCCAGAGGCAGGGUUAAACUGGAGUGUGUUUUAGAGGAACUGAAAGUGUGCUGUAGGCACUUGUUUAUGGUAAGUGAGACAUUUGCUAAAAAAGGUGGAUAGUCUGUGAGUCAACACCUUUACGCUGCAUCCUGGUUCCUGGAGCGGCUGGUGCGUCAGGAGCUGGUAGCUGCCAGGCUGCGCAGGAAGGGCUGCCCUGUCGCUUCUCUCGUGAUGAAGAACAAACUGCUUUUCACACAGAU